AACUUGGCAUGCCUCAGUACGGCGAGUGAGCGGCAAAAGCUCAAAUUUGAAACCCUCGGGAUUGUAAUUUGAAGAUUUGGCAUUGGAGAAAGCUAACCCAAGUUGCUUGGAAUAGUACGUCAUAGAGGGUGACAACCCCGUCUGGCUAACCGUUCUCCAUGUAUUGCCUUAUCAAAGAGUCGAGUUGUUUGGGAAUGCAGCUCAAAGUGGGUGGUAAACUCCAUCUAAAGCUAAAUACUGGUGAGAGACCGAUAGCGAACAAGUACUGUGAAGGAAAGGUGAAAAGAACUUUGAAAAGAGAGUGAAAUAGUAUGUGAAAUUGUUGAUAGGGAAGGAAAUGAGUGGAGAGUGGCCGAGGUUUCAGCCGCCCCUCGUGGGCGGUGUACUGCCGACGCCGAGUCAUCGAUAGCGAGACGAGGGUUACAAAUGGGAGCGCCUUCGGGCGUUCUCCCCUAACCCUCCACACUGCCACCGACGACAUAAUCCACCCAUUUCACCCGUCUUAACACACGGACAA
rnacentral:rRNA from 1 species